rnacentral:rRNA from 1 species
AGUUUGAUCAUGGCUCAGAUUGAACGCUGGCGGCAUGCCUUACACAUGCAAGUCGAACGGCAGCGGACCUUCGGGUGCCGGCGAGUGGCGAACGGGUGAGUAAUAUAUCGGAACGUACCUUCAGUGGGGGAUAACGUAGCGAAAGUUACGCUAAUACCGCAUAUUCUGUGAGCAGGAAAGCAGGGGAUCGCAAGACCUUGCGCUGAUUGAGCGGCCGAUAUCAGAUUAGCUAGUUGGUGAGGUAAAGGCUCACCAAGGCGACGAUCUGUAGCGGGUCUGAGAGGAUGAUCCGCCACACUGGAACUGAGACACGGCCCAGACUCCUACGGGAGGCAGCAGUGGGGAAUCUUAGACAAUGGGCGCAAGCCUGAUCUAGCCAUGCCGCGUGGACGAUGAAGGCCUUAGGGUUGUAAAGUCCUUUCAGAUGGGAAGAUAAUGACGGUACCAUCAGAAGAAGCCCCGGCUAACUCCGUG